CACGUAGGGGGCGAGCGUUGUCCGGAUUUAUUGGGCGUAAAGAGCUCGUAGGCGGUUCGGUAAGUCGGGUGUGAAACCUCCAGGCUCAACCUGGAGUCGCCACUCGAUACUGCUGUGACUAGAGUCCGGUAGGGGAGCGUGGAAUUCCUGGUGUAGCGGUGAAAUGCGCAGAUAUCAGGAGGAACACCGAUGGCGAAGGCAGGUCUCUGGGCAUUAACUGACGCUGAGGAGCGAAAGCAUGGGGAGCGAACAGG
rnacentral:rRNA from 1 species